rnacentral:rRNA from 1 species
CUGACUUGACUGAUUGGACUUUACUUGCGCAGUAUAGGUGGGAGGCGUUGAAAAUAUUCUUGCGGGAAUAUUGGAGCCAUCAGUGAGAUACCACUCUUGUAAUGUUAGAUUUCUAACUUUGUAUCAUUAUCUGGUCAAAGAACAGUUUCAGGCGGGCAGUUUGACUGGGGCGGUCGCCUCCUAAACGGUAACGGAGGCGCACAAAGGUUUCCUCUGAACGGGUAGAAAUCGUAUCUAGAGUGUAAAGGCAUAAGGAAGCUUGACUGUGAGACCUACAAGUCGAGCAGGGACGAAAGUCGGUCUUAGUGAUCUGACGGUGCUGAGUGGAAAGGCCGUCACUCAACGGAUAAAAGUUACUCUAGGGAUAACAGGCUGAA